rnacentral:tRNA from 1 species
CCGACCUUAGCUCAGUGGUAGAGCAUUUGCCUCGUAAGCAUUCAUUCGCCUGUUCGAUUCAGGCAGGUCGGU